GCGGGUGUAUUUCAGUGGCAGAACUUCAGCUUCCCAAGCUGAUAGCGCGAGUUUGAUUCUCGUCACCCGCU
rnacentral:tRNA from 1 species